rnacentral:rRNA from 1 species
UGUCUGGGAAACUGCCUGAUGUAGGGGGAUAACUACUGGAAACGGUAGCUAAUACCGCAUAACGUCGCAAGACCAAAGAGGGGGACCUUCGGGCCUCUUGCCAUCAGAUGUGCCCAGAUGGGAUUAGCUAGUAGGUGGGGUAACGGCUCACCUAGGCGACGAUCCCUAGCUGGUCUGAGAGGAUGACCAGCCACACUGAAACUGAGACACGGUCCAGACUCCUACGGGAGGCAGCAGUGGGGAAUAUUGCACAAUGGGCGCAAGCCUGAUGCAGCCAUGCCGCGUGUAUGAAGAAGGCCUUCGGGUUGUAAAGUACUUUCAGCGGGGAGGAAGGUGUUGAGGUUAAUAACCUCAUCAAUUGACGUUACCCGCAGAAGAAGCACCGGCUAACUCCGUGCCAGCAGCCGCGGUAAUACGGAGGGUGCAAGCGUUAAUCGGAAUUACUGGGCGUAAAGCGCACGCAGGCGGUCUGUCAAGUCGGAUGUGAAAUCCCCGGGCUCAACCUGGGAACUGCAUUCGAAACUGGCAGGCUAGAGUCUUGUAGAGGGGGGUAGAAUUCCAGGUGUAGCGGUGAAAUGCGUAUAGAUCUGGAGGAAUACCGGUGGCGAAGGCGGCCCCCUGGACAAAGACUGACGCUCAGGUGCGAAAGCGUGUGGAGCAAACAGGAUUAGAUACCCUGGUAGUCCACGCCGUAAACGAUGUC